UUCAGUUCUUCUUUGUUCAGUUCCCCCUGUCAGGUUGCCCUAGAUGGAAGAACCUGUUCCAUCACAUGCUCCUUCUUUUGGUGCAUCUUCAGCUUGAGCUAUGACUUCACUCAAUUCUUUUACUAGCCCAAUAGCUUCAUCUUUAUGUUCCUGUCUCUUAGAAAGAAUUUUAGUUUCAUCAAAAACUACAUGUACACUUUCUUCUACACACAAAGUUCUUUUGUUGUACACUUUAUAAGCUUUGCUAUGUAAGGAAUAUCCCACGAAUACUCCCUCAUCACUUCUGGGAUCAAACUUACUAGGGAGUCCUUUCCAUUAUUGUGUACAGAGCACUUGCAUCCAAAUGACCUAAGAUGAGAUAUAUUUAAUUUUAUCCCUUUAAGUAACUUAUAAGGAGUCUUCUCUACAAGAGGUCUAGUCAUACACCUAUUAAUGAUGUAACAUGCAAUAUUUACAGCCUCUGUCCAGAAGCUAUAUGGCAGUUUACUAGAAAGAAGCAUAGUCCUAGCCAUAUCUUCAAGAGUCCUAUUAUUUCUUUCAACUACUCCAUUUUGUUGAGGAGUCCUAGGUGCAGAGAAGUUAUGAUCUAUACCAUGCUCAUUACAAAAUUCAGCAAACUUAGCAUUUUCAAAUUCAGUUCCAUGAUCGGACCUAAUUGAUGCAAGUUGAUUACCUAGUUGUUUCUAAGUUUUUCUAACAAAGGUAGUAAACAUGUCAAAUGCUUCAUCCUUAGAUGUUAAAAAAAAUACCCAAGUAAACGUAGAGUAAUCAUCUACAGUACCAUCACAUAUUUCUUACCACCUCUGCUUAAUGUUCUCAUUAGACCACAGAGAUCCAUAUGAACUAGUUCCAUCAUCCUGGUCGUGCUUACCAUUUUCUUGCCUUUAAAAGAUGAUCUUACCUGCUUCCCCCUUGCACAGGCCUCACAAACUUUGUCUUCCUUGAACUUGAUGUUAGGUAACCCUAUCACCAGGUCCUUGGAGACUAAUUUGUUGAGUUGAUUUAGACUUGCAUGACCAAGUCUUUUGUGCCACAGGAGGGUAUCAUUAUCUAACACACUCAAGAAAGUGAGUUCAUUUUCUAAAAGAGUGGAAAGAUCUACAAUAUAAAUAUUGUUAACUUUUUUUUCUAUCAAAACAAUCUUGUCAGUGGUAAGAUUAAUCACAAAACAUUUGGUAGAGGUGAAUGCUACCAAGUUACCCCUGUCACACAGUUGUUAGGCUAUAUUUCAAGCCAUCUAUCAAGUAGACAUUCUCAGUGGAAUGUGAGUCUGUCUUACCUACCUUUUCAACCCUAAUGAUCUCACCUUUAUUCCCAUUUCAAAAGGAGAUAUUACCUCCUUUUAGGUCCUCAAGUGAAAGAAACUGGUUCUUACUUCCAGUCAUAUGCUUUGAGCAGCCACUAUCCAUGUACCAUAUUUGGCUAGUUUCCUUCACUUGGACCUACAAAACAAAAUCAGGGGUUAGUCUUAGGAACCCAAACUAGUUUGGGUCCCUUUCUAUAGGCAAAUAGGUGAAUUAAAUUCCUUUUGGCCCAUCCAGACAACCUCUUUUUCUCUUGAACAAAGGUUUUGUUCUUUUGACUAGCCUUUUCUUUUGCAUCACAUUCACUUUUGUAAUGACCAGUCUUGCCACAAUGUGUGCAGAUUUUGUUUUCAGGAAGUGUGAUGUAUUUGUUUUUGGGAUCCCACUUAGGUGCUGGGGUCCCAUACCCAUGUCCUCUCUUGUUGCUAUUGUGGUGCUCUUGUAUCCAGGAUAGUGUAUCAGAGGACUUAUUCCAUUUGCAAGUUCUAUCUAGCUCAUGUUUUACGUUGCCUAGAUCUUCUUUUAGGACUCUUAUAUGCUCAUCUUUCUUGUACAACUCAUCCUUCAUUUUCCUAGAUUUUCUUCUAAGGUGAUAUGUGUGUGAUCAACUUUCUUCUUACCUGUUCCUAAUUUCAGUUUUAAAUUUUAAGACCAAAGUUGUAAGACAUUGGUGUCAAGUUCAAGCUGGUUCUUCAACUCAGUAUUUUUACUAUCACUUUCACUAGCUCUAAAUUCCAAAUUUUUGCACUUGGCUUUUACGAUCACACAUUCCCUAGACAAUUGUUUCUUCUAAUUGUUUAUAACCUCAGACUCAUCAAUGAAGUAUAGCAAUAAUUCAAAUAGCCUUUCUUUAGACAAAAAUUUAAUCUUGUCUUUGGGAUGAAUAACACUUACCUCUUGUUCAUCAUCUGAUUCUCCAAUGGCCAUAAGUGCUUGUCCAUCUCUAGCUUCAUCUUCUGAAUCCUAAUCUGAGGUCUCUCCCCAAGCAGAAACCAUACCCUUUGUUGAUCCUUUGUUCCUUUUGGGUUGAACAUGUUACUUCUUCCUGCUCCUUCGUUCAGCCUUUUUCUUCUUCCAUUCAAUUUCCCACUGAGGACAAUUCUUGAUCAUGUGGUCAGUCUUACCACAUUUGUAGCAGCCCUCGUUGGUAUGUUUUUCAGGAGCCCUUGGUUUGUUGAAGGUUGCACCUGUUGAACAACCCUUUACUCUCAUUAGGUACUUCUUGAAAUCCCUUGUGGUCAUAGCUAUUUCAUUAUCCUCUAAGUCUGCACCUUCAGCUAUUCUAAGAGCCAAGCUUCUUUCCUUAUUGGGUGUAUCCAUAUUCAUGGUUUUCCUUCUUAGUUCAUAGGCAAUGAGAUUUCCAAUCAGCUCAUCCAACUUGAGAGUAUCAAUAUUCUUUGAUUCCUGAAUAGCCGUGAUUUUGCUUUCCCAAGUCAUUGGCAAGACCCUUGUCAAGAUUUUCUCAACAUUGUCUUCUUCAAGGAUAAUUCUUCCAAGAGACUUAAGUUCAUUUGUUAAUGUUGUGAACCUUGUGUACAUCUCUUGGAUGGUUUCUCCUUCCUUCAUGGUGAAAUUCUCAUAUUGAGAAUAUAGUAGUGUUCCUCUUGAUCUCUUUACUUGAGGAGUUCCUUCAUGGGCCACUUGUAGAGUGUCCCAGAUCUCCUUAGCAGUGGUACAACUUUGAAUCAUGUUGUACGAGUCAGGACCUAGUCCACACACAAGCCAUUUCUUGUCCUUGGCAUUCUUUUCCCAUUUCUUCAAAUCUUCAGCAGUACAAUCAGCUCUUGUCUAUGGCACGUCCACUCCUUUAGCAUUUUUCUUUGUAGUAGCCAGGGGAUCAUCAGUAACUAUGUCCCAGAGUUCAUAGUCUCCUCCUAUAAUGUGGUCUCUCAUCCUUGUCACACCUCAUUUUUCUACCCCGGAAGGGUAUAAGAGAGUUUUUCCAAUUAAAGUGACAAUAGUCGAAAUGUGAUUAUUUAUUCAAAUUCAGAGUCGCCAUUAGGAUAAUUGAUGGUGUCCCAAGUAACCGGUUUAAAUCCCAAAUCGAGGAAGUUUGACUCUGUUUUACAGUCUGCGAAACACAGAAAUCCGGGUAAGGAAUUCUGUUAACCCGAGAGAAGGUGUUAGGCAUUCCCGGGUUCCGUGAUUUUAGCACGAUCACUCAACUAUUAUUAAUGGCCUAAUUAUCUGAUAAAUUACACAUUUUAAACCUACGUGCAUUUUUAACUUUCUAACCACUUUUAAUGUUUUUAGGAAAAUUCAUGAUCGUUAUACACUUGUUUGUUUUUAAAAACACAUCGUAAACCACGCUACAUAAAAUGCACCCGCUGUUCACGACAUGUUUAAUUUAUUUAACAUUAUUGGAAAUUGAAGUCGGAUCACAUGAAAUGUGCACCCGAAUUUGAAAAUUACAAAUCACAAUUACGUCACAAGAACCGUACCCGUAGCUAUGAUAAUUUAUUAUAACGCGCCUAAAGCAAACUACGAAUGUUCAUAUUUACUUCUUAAAAUUAUUUUGAGAUUGUUGAGAGGUCAUGAAAAUCGAUUGUGGCUUUCCACCACUCCCCACGAUCAACAAUCAUUCAAGCAAAUUCAUGUUCAAUGAAAUCAAUCAUCAACUAAAUAAAGUACCCAUAAUAAACAUCCAGAGCAAAAUGAGCGUUUUUAAGAAAACGACUGAAGCUUUGCGUGCAUGCUGUGCACAUUUGAUUAAUGCGGGAAGAGGUGAGGAUCAAUACGAAUACAGAAAACUAAUAGAUCUCCCGCUAAGACUACUAUAAUGAAUAAAAGACAUUCUUUUCAUUUAUAUAUCCUUUUAUUAUCAAACAUAAAACCAAAACUUUAUCCACAACAUGCCAAUCCAAUCUAGUGUUGUAUCCUUGGCAACAAGAAUAUCACUUGCUAUAUUUUCAUGGAUUAGAUAUUGUCAUGUCUGAAUGUUGCUUUCAAUCCGCAAGCAAAAAUGCAGUCAGAAAAAUAAAAAUGCAUUAUAUUGUUGCCAACUUCUAUGCUCACUUCACAAGGAUUAACUCUUCAUUUUAUCACUUGAAGCGCUUGCAGAUCAAUGCAUACAAACAGAGCACCAAUUUCAAUUCUUAAUGUGCAACCAAGUUAACAGAUGCCAUAAUUCUCAUUCAACCACAACAAGUUUCAAUCAUGCGAGACAAAUUCAGCUAAAGAAAUAAAUCAUUCAAGCCAAAAUUACCAUAAAUUUGAACUGAUUUUAAAAUUAAUUGGGCCAAAUGGCAUACUCCAGUAGACAAGGGAGAAACCAUCCAAAAUGUAUCACUAGUCGGCAUGGGAGCAGGUGGGUAGGAACAACUAAAUAUCAUUCGAUUAAUUAAAUGCGUUUUAAUUUUUUGAACUGAAAGCAUGAUUUCGAACUAUAUGUACAGGCAACGAUCUAACAUGGUACCCUAACAAGAGAACGCGAAGUAAGUAAGCAAAGGCGUAAUGCAAACGAUCACAAGACUACAAACUUCACACCAAGUUGCAGGGGAUUCAUAAUUCAGAUGUUGCUCAUCGCCUUAUUCUUAAUAGUCCGAAUUCAACGAACAGUCACAAAUGCCAACAAAAUUUAUCCUUUCCUAUCAAAACCAAACCUAUCCGACCUCAAAUGACACUCCAAGUACACCAAAGAAACAUCAUGCAUUAAAACAUGAACAGAAAAUCCAGUAAGACGACUAAUGAAGUUCAUUCUUAGUGAACAUAUAGAAAACAAGAUAAUCAGUUAAGAUUCAAACCCUACGAUCGGUCAAGUUCUCAAGAAAACAGAUUGAUGUUUCUGAAAAAAAAGAAAUUCAAAGCAACUCGGCGUUAAACCAGUAGACAAGUACAUGAAUAUCCACUGGAGAAGACUUCGAAAUGGUUCUCAUUCAAACUAAAAAAACUGGACGAGCUUAUAAAAUUGGAACAAAUGAAUAGUCAUUUAAACUUUAAUCAAUCGACUAAUCCAUCUCCAGUAGAAGAAACAAAGCACAAAUGGUCAUGUAUUUUGGACAGAGAUGUAGAUUUGUUCGAACAUGAUAAGCCAACAAAUAUUUACAAAUACCAUAUUGAACUCUUAGCUAAUUCAUCACUGACUGCCAACCCACACAUGGAGUAGAACAAGAACUAGCGGAGACAUAUGAAUCAAGUUGUAGAAAAACUAAAUCAGAGAAAGAUGCAAAUUGAAGGAUGAUUUCUCUAUGAAAACAUCACAAAAUAGUAAGAACAAAACUCAAAUAAAUCUGUCCAGAGCAGGAUAACUUUUGAAACAUACAUUCGAACACAAACUCAUUCGAAACUGUUUAUUAAGCGCAUACAAACUCAUUCUGUACCCUUAAGAUGUUAUAGACACUAAAGAACCCCAUCCGACCCCCCAUAGCUCUUAUCAUAUUUUAAAUAACACAAAAAAUAGAUUAAGAAAGAUUAGAGAUGAACCUGAAUCAGGAAACACCUUUGAUUAACUUUGCUUAAAUGCUAAAUACAAGUGAAAUCCAGCAGCGAAGAUCAAAACAAACAGUAACAAUAUCGAGCAGAAAUCACAAGCCUAAUCAAAAUUUAGAAACUCGGACAAAAACCCGAAUCGGCAACAAUUGAAACUCAAACUUAUAUACCUCAAGCAAUCUCCAUUUUUUUCCGACCAAAAUCCAGAUUCAAACGAAGAAAUAGAAAAGUUAAAAUAGAUAUGUAUCUAUAUUUUUUUUUGUGUUUUUCUGAAGUUUUAAGAACUGAAAAAUCAGAGAGCUAACAAUGGGAAAUCGAGCUAAAACCCUAGUUCUAUUUCUUUUUUUCUUCUUCUGGUUUUCUGGAAUUUUCAGAAAGAAAAUCAAAUCACAAAUUAUAGAAAACUAUUUUUUCUUCCAAAACCCUCCGAUUUUCCUCUCGCAGACCUCUAAAAAAUCCUCUCUUAUAUAGCCUUCAAGAAUUAUCGAACCUUCUACCCUCUUCUCCAAGAAAUCUCCAAAUACUCCUCCUAAUUCGAAAAAGCCACGAAAAAUCUCACAUAGAAUAAAAACCGGACAAAUAGAAGGCUUGGAUGUGAUUUCUCGCAUCCAACCGCUCCUAUUUACCCGAGAUUCGUCCCAAGAAAUCAAAAGCACGUGAGAAUGGGGUGAAGAUGAAAAUAUUCUGGCAGAGACGGUUAUGCCACGUUAGAGAGAGACGAAAAUAGGGGACCAUGUGCGAUGAGUUUGGUGGAAGAACUCGUCUAAAAUUCAAUCGAGUUUGGGCGAGCUUGGGCUAGGCAGAAUCGGAGCUGGGGGUGGGCACCGUUUCGGUUGUGAGAGUAUUAGGUCUAGGGUUUUGUUUUGUGUUAUAAAGGGGAUUAUAUAUG
rnacentral:lncRNA from 1 species